rnacentral:misc_RNA from 1 species
AAGUCGUAACAAGGUUUCCGUAGGUGAACCUGCGGAGGGAUCAUUACCGAGUUUACAACUCCCAAACCCAUGUGAACAUACCUACUGUUGCUUCGGCGGGAUUGCCCCGGGCGCCUCGUGUGCCCCGGAUCAGGCGCCCGCCUAGGAAACUUAACUCUUGUUUUAUUUUGGAAUCUUCUGAGUAGUUUUUACAAAUAAAUAAAAACUUUCAACAACGGAUCUCUUGGUUCUG